rnacentral:rRNA from 1 species
AGUGGCGACCGGGUGAGUAACAUGUGACUAACCUACCUUUUAGUGGGGGAUAACUCCGGGAAACCGGAUCUAAUACCGCAUAACAUCGCAAGAUCAAAGCAGCAAUGCGCUGGAAGAGGGGGUCGCGGCUGAUUAGCUAGUUGGCGGGGUAACGGCCCACCAAGGCGAAGAUCGGUAUCCGGCCUGAGAGGGCGCACGGACACACUGGAACUGAAACACGGUCCAGACUCCUACGGGAGGCAGCAGUGGGGAAUUUUGCGCAAUGGGGGAAACCCUGACGCAGCAACGCCGCGUGGAGGAUGAAGCCCCUUGGGGCGUAAACUCCUUUCGACCAAGACGAUAAUGACGGUACUGGUGGAAGAAGCACCGGCUAACUCUGUGCCAGCAGCCGCGGUAAUACAGAGGGUGCAAGCGUUGUUCGGAAUUAUUGGGCGUAAAGGGUGCGUAGCGGCGCGACAAGUCACUUGUGAAAUCUCCCGGGCUUAACUCGGAGCCUGCAGGCGA